UGGGGAAUAUUGGACAAUGGGCGAAGGCCUGAUCCAGCCAUGCCGCGUGUGUGAAGAAGGUCUUCGGAUUGUAAAGCACUUUAAGUUGGGAGGAAGGGCUGCAAGUUAAUACCUUGUAGUUUUGACGUUACCAACAGAAUAAGCACCGACUAACUUCGUGCCAGCAGCCGCGGUAAUACGAAGGGUGCAAGCGUUAAUCGGAAUUACUGGGCGUAAAGCGCGCGUAGGUGGUUUGGUAAGAUGGAUGUGAAAUCCCCGGGCUCAACCUGGGAACUGCAUCCAUAACUGCCUGACUAGAGUACGGUAGAGGGUGGUGGAAUUUCCUGUGUAGCGGUGAAAUGCGUAGAUAUAGGAAGGAACACCCGUGCCGAAGGCGACCACCUGGACUGAUACUGACACUGAGGUGCGAAAGCGUGGGGAGCAAACA
rnacentral:rRNA from 1 species